rnacentral:rRNA from 1 species
UACGGAGGGGGCGUAGCGUUAAUCGGAAUUACUGGGCGGUAAAGACGUGCGCAGGCGGUUUGUUAAGCCAGAUGUGAAAUCCCCCGGGCUCAACCUGGGAAUUGCAUUUGGAACUGGCGAACUAGAGUCUUGUAGAGGGGGGUAGGAAUUCCAGGUGUAGCGGUGAAAUGCGUAGAUAUCUGGAGGAAUACCGGUGGCGAAGGCGGCCCCCCUGGACAAAGACUGACGCUCAUGCACGAAAGCGUGGGGAGCAAACAGGAUUAGAUACCCGGGUAGU